GUGUGCUUGCCGGACACAGAUCAAGGAAGCAAGCAAUCCAACUCCAUUAGAAUUAAUUCCACGCUAAAUGACUGACACACAGUUCUCAAACAUGGAGGUGGGAGUAGGAGUUCUAAUUAAAGAGAGACUGCAGGACAUCCCUAUCACAGCUGGCACCUAAUCUGGAAGGAAUCCAAUCACUGUGACCUCUGUGUACUUGUUCCACUACUCAGUAUGUACAAUGAACCAGAAAUCGUCUCCUCAUCUUUCAGAAAAAAGCUUUUGUUGCUUAUGAGAUACAACAGUAGGCAUUCAGUAUAAUCCUUUUCCAAAUCUGAUUUCCGUUUUACUUCUCCUGAUGGGAAGAAAGAAAAAGGGAAUCGUGUACUGUAAUGAGAAGGAUGAAGAACAUGAAUCAAGCUGUCUCACAUGAAGGCAUAUACAAGUUAUUAUAACUGUGAAUCACACAGUAGGUGAAGCUCUAAGCCAAGAAUAGCAAGGAAUGUGAAGUGAGAAGAGAACAGCGAUUUCAUAUUGAAAGCAGCAAAACAAAAGUAAAAAUCAAGCCUAUCCAAACCAUAGAGUUUCUGAAAGCCAUGUUUCAAACUGUUUGACUUUUAUUUACAAAUCCCAUAACAUGAUCCUUUCAUGGUUUUAUGUUAUAGAAUGUUUUAUUGUCUAGCUGAAAGUAUUAAUCAAAAUCACCAAUAUAAUUUAUUGUUGUAACCUGAAGUAGCAAGUCGAUCAUCAAACACUAUUACAAAAAUAUUCUGUUCUCAUUUCCAGAAAUAAAGUCAAUUAAUUUGAAUUCAGAUUAAUCAAUUCAGAUACUACAGUGAUAGCAACCAUGUAAAUACCUGGAUA